GAGAGCGAGCAUGCCCGUUUGAAGUUUUUUAAAAAAGGGUCCCCCACUCUUCCUUUCUCUUCUUCUCUUCCAUCCUCUCACUUCUGAAACCCUCAAUAAAGCAAAAGCUAUGAAUCAGAACAAAUCCACCAUUUUUGAAUAAAGUUAUAAAUUCAUGAGAUUCUUCUUUUACGCUGCCACCAUUUUCAACUUUCAAAUCCUUCAUUCUCUCACUCUCUCUUCUUUUCUCAUAUAAAACAAUUUUUUUACUUUUUUUUUUUGUACACUUCAAAUAGCCAUCAUUCCAAAUACCCCUUUUCCUCACUUCCCUAUGACUCAAAGAAUGUGAUAAAGAAAAGUGAAAGAAACUCCAAAUGUUCUAUUUGUCUCUUCAAUCUUAUACGGAUUGACCCAAAAUCUUCACUUUUUACACCAUUUCCUUAUAGUAUAUUCAGUUUUUUUGUAUCUUUUUUCCUUCAACACCCUUAUAUACUUCUUUCAAUAAUCAGAAAAGAGGACAAAAUCCCACUUGGGUUUUUUAUUUUUCCUCUUUUGCUUUUGUUUUUCCCUCCCUUUGAACCAUUUUAGUACUUUUGAUGUUUUAUUGAAAUGGGUGGGGGAGGAAGAGUGGAGGUGGUAAGCAGCAAAGGGUGUUCUAAGCUGUUAGUGGAUUUUUCCUCUUCAUUUAGAGGGAUUCCAUCUUAUUCAUUGGAACCCUUCAUGUCUCCUGCUUCCUCUUCCUCUGUUAUGUCUCAAUCAAUACUCACCACUCCAUCCAAUUGUCCAUUUACUGGGCUUGUUAUCUGUGUAACUGGACUUUCUAAAGAAGCUAGGAAGCAAGUGAUGGAAGCAACAGAGAGAUUAGGUGGAAAAUACAGCCCGCAUUUGCACCCUCAAUGUACCCAUCUGGUGGUUCAGAGUUUUUCUGGACGUAAGUUUGAGCACGCCUCGAAACAUGGUUUAAAAAACGGUCUACUUGUCGUUUCAUUGGCAUGGUUUGUGGAUAGCGUGAGAAGGAAUGUGAGGCUGAAUGAAUCCCUUUAUAGUGUUAAAGGUGUUGGACAAGGUGGUUUCUCUGUAGAUGAUAUCAGCAGUCAGCAUUCAUGUCUUCCUGUUGCGUUGCCUGAACAUAGCAAAUCACCUGACAUGAUUGAAGAGCCAUUAAUACAUGCUGAAAGAGAACCUAAGCGAAGAACUCUGUUUGGUCAUACCUUUUAUGUUGAUGCUGAUGUUUCUGAUGAGCUGCGUAGUAAGGUCAUCGAGUCUGCAACAGCAGAAGGUGCUAGUUUGGUCAAUCAGUGGUUUGUUGGUUGCAGUGCGAGCCAUGUUGUCUGCGAAGGAAACUCAAUACGGAAAUACCUCGGCCAUUCCUCUAAAAUUGUUACACCGCUCUGGGUUCUGAAGAGUGCCAAGGAAAAGCGCCUGCAAAGGCUUGUUCAUAUGUCUGCUGAUUUGGCUAGGCAAACUGGAAUAUUACUUGAUAACAUUCAGAAUACGAUUUCUAGCAAGGAAGUCAACACUGGUGCUUAUCUUCGAGAUGUAACAUGUUCUACACCUAGAGUGAGCCAGGAAGAAAGGCAGAAUGUUGCCAACGUGGCCAAAGAGGGAGUUAGGAAGCGUCGUGGUUGGCGUAUGCAGACAUGCCAAACUCCUCUACGUCACCUAUCUCCAAGCAGCCUUCUAGAUUCUAUCUGCUGGUCGAUAUCUGAUCCAACUUCAACUGCUUCUAUUUACAUGGAUUCUUCUAGUGUUGAAGAUACAAACCAACAGAACACAUCUGUGUUUUUUGAUGCAAAGGAGGAUCACAAAGCAUCUGAAGCUUCAUUUGUGAACCUAUCCCGACCGCUUUCUGAAAGUGAGAAAGCUGAGCUGAUAUUGAAAAACAACUUCGUUACCAUACUGUUUCCAGUUGAUCGAUUUUCCGAAAUGGGUCCAUGUUCCAGGACCUUUUUUAAUGAAAAAGGGUUCACGUGUUUACAGGUCUUGGAUUACAUAUAUGCAUUUUAUCAGGAAAACAUGUCCCGUAGAGAGGUAGAGGUAGCGAUUCACACAGAUUCAAGGAAUGCUGACCGACUAAGAUCAGUUUAUUGCAGUAAAGAGACUAGUGAGCGUGGUUUUGUAGAAUUCAAACGGAUAGAAUUUCUUGGUAGCCGUAAAAGUUUUGAAAUGUUGAAGCGUGUUUCGGGUGAUAAUAACUGUAACGUGUACGAGUUGUUGAUCAGAGCAUAAGUCCAUAGGAGGAAACAAAGUUGGACGACGGUCUACUUUGUUCGAUUUGGCUGGUAACAUACCUCUAGCCUUCCAAGUGCUGACUUGGAUAUGAUGAAGAAGCUUUCAGGACCAGCUACAUAUAUGACGAGUUCUCGUGCAAGUCUCUUUUCCGUGCCCAAAGGUCAGAUUAUUGACCUGGGUAUUGGGUUAGCAAGAAGAUGCAUUGGCUGAUAACAUAUCCAUCGCGCAUUUUUCAAAUGUCAAGUCAGUGUGAACUCAUUUGGCUGGAAAUAAGUUGGAUGCUAUAAGUUAUGCUUUUUAUGAUGAAAGAUGAACAAGAAAAGACAUUUACAUGACCAUAAUGGUAAGUUUGAAACUGUUAGAUGAAUCCAAAAAAUGAGGGGUGGAUGAAUUGGUUGUAAGAUUGGGGAAUAACUCUUUUUGGAAGAGUUAAGAGCUUGUUUGGAUUUACUUAUUUUAAGUCCUUUUAAGCA